GAGGAAUAUUGGUCAAUGGGCGGAAGCCUGAACCAGCCAUGCCGCGUGCGGGAAGGAGGCCCUAUGGGCUGUGAACCGCUUUUGCCUGGGGGCAAUAAGGGCGUCGUGCACGUCCGAUGAGAGUACCAGGCGAAUAAGCAUCGGCUAACUCCGUGCCAGCAGCCGCGGUAAUACGGGGGAUGCGAGCGUUAUCCGGAUUCAUUGGGUUUAAAGGGUGCGUAGGCUGUGCGUCAAGUCAGGGGUGAAAUUCCGGGGCUCAACUCCGGGGCUGCCCUUGAUACUGUCGCGCUGGAGUGCGGAUGCCGCCGGAGGAAUGAGUGGUGUAGCGGUGAAAUGCUUAGAUAUCACUCAGAACACCGAUUGCGAAGGCAUCUGGCGAAUCCGUAACUGACGCUGAGGCACGAAAGCGUGGGGAUAGAAC
rnacentral:rRNA from 1 species